rnacentral:rRNA from 1 species
UACGGGGGGGGCAAGCGUUGUUCGGAAUUACUGGGCGUAAAGGGCUCGUAGGUGGCCAACUAAGUCAUACGUGAAAUCCCUCAGCUUAACUGGGGAACUGCGUGUGAUACUGGAUGGCUUGGAUUUGGGAGAGGGAUGCGGAAUUCCAGGUGUAGCGGUGAAAUGCGUAGAUAUCCGGAGGAACACCAGCGGCGAAGGCGGCAUCCUGGACUGGUCCUGACACUCAGGAGCGAAAGCGUGGGGAGCGAUCCGG